ensembl:snoRNA T27A8.9 ncRNA
UCACCGAACCAAGGUGGUUCUGAGUUGCUCACAUGCUCAGAUAAGUGGAAGUUCGGAAGAUUGAUGAUCAAAAAGGUGGUGUUGAAUCUUAUUGUUUCAUUCAACAUUG